rnacentral:lncRNA from 1 species
GUUCAUCAUGGAAGAGCUAAAGGUGGGUUUCUGCUAUCAAAGGUGCUUCCUGGGAGAACUCCAUCCUGGAGAGGGAGAUGUCCCUCACUGUGUAUGCAACCUGACUCUGUCAAGUGACAUAGUAUAAAUAUGGGAAGAGGAGACCUGAAAGAGGGGCAGGUAUUGUGACGUAAGAUUGGUACUUGCCAAUUACUUGAUGCUGAGCAAUGCUUAUGGUUGCACUUUAUCUCUCAUACAGGUUUGUUCAUGAAGAAAAAUAGAACCAAGAGACAAACUACACAGCAUUAGCACAUUGGCCAGGUUGUAUACACAGUGAAGGGCACCUCACUCUCCAGGCUGGAGUUCUCCCAGGAAGCACCUCUGAUGGCAAAAACCCCCCAAGAAUUGACCAUCUUGGGGAGGGGAUAUGGCCACAUAUUCUUUUUGAAGAGCUAGGUAUUAUUUUUGCCCUGGAACCUGCAAAGAAGCCCCAAACUAUGUUUAUACAUAACCCCUAGGGGCCCCUUUCUCUCUGAAAUGAUAACUAAUUGGUCAAAACAUUUCUUAAUGGGGAUGAACUAACAUAACACAAUGUAACAAAAUGAGUGGAAUCACCCUUCAGUCCAUCUUCUCUGUUCCCAAGCUCCCGGAACCUCCUCACCUUGUUAGAAAGUGGAGGCUGGGAGGUGAAGGAGUCCUGCAUCUUGGCCUCUGCCCCACCAGCCCAGAGGCUGGAACCCUGCUGUCCUGUACCAAGCUCCCUCUCCAUCGUCCACUGGUUGUUUCCAGGACUGGGCAAGAAUUCUACUGUGUGAAGAUGAAUUGGCAGAAUUUUGCCAAAGGUUGUGGUGGAAGGAGUCACCCC